GCCCGUGUAGCUCAGUGGUAGAGCACACCCUUGGUAAGGGUGAGGUCAUCAGUUCAAUCCUGAUCACGGGCU
rnacentral:tRNA from 1 species